rnacentral:lncRNA from 1 species
AAAAACCUAUGAUGUCACAUCAUAUGUCACAACACCAGAGGAGAAAACAGUUGAAAGGAAAACACCAAAGAUGGAGAUGCCACUACUGUGGGAAAUUUGGUCAUCUGAAGCCUUUCUGCUAUAAACUGUAUGGCUAUCCUAGGCCUGCUCAUCAUCAGGAUCACUAUCAAUUCAGACCCAAGCAGCACAUGCCUAGCAUCAAGAAGCAAUGGGUCCCUAAGACUAAUGUCACAAGUCUGAUA